GAGGUUGUGGCUCAGUGGUAGAGUGCUUGCCUAGCACAUGCAAGGCCCUGGGUUCGAUCCUCAGCACCACA
rnacentral:tRNA from 1 species